UACGUAGGGUGCGAGCGUUAAUCGGAAUUACUGGGCGUAAAGUGUGCGCAGGCGGCAAAGCAAGUCGAGUGUGAAAGCCCCGGGCUUAACUUGGGAAUUGCGCUCGAAACUACUUUGCUGGAGUGUGGCAGAGGAAGGUGGAAUUCCACGUGUAGCGGUGAAAUGCGUAGGGAUGUGGAGGAACACCAAUGGCGAAGGCAGCCUUCUGGGCCAACACUGACGCCCAUGCACGAAAGCGUGGGGAGCAAACAGG
rnacentral:rRNA from 1 species